rnacentral:misc_RNA from 1 species
CGAAAUGCGAUAAGUAAUGUGAAUUGCAGAAUUCAGUGAAUCAUCGAAUCUUUGAACGCCCAUUGCGCCCGCCAGUAUUCUGGCGGGCAUGCCUGUCCGAGCGUCAUUUCAACCAUCAAGCCCCCGGGCUUGUGUUGGGGACCUGCGGCUGCCCGCAGGCCCUGAAAACCAGUGGCGGGCUCGCUGUCACACCGAGCGUAGUAGCAAUCACCUCGCUCAGGGCGUGCUGCGGGUUCCGGCCGUUAAACAGCCUUACAAAACCCAAGGUUGACCUCGGAUCAGGUAGGAAGACCCGCUGAACUUAAGC